CUUUCACGUCUCCCACAGUCUCUCUCUCUCUCUAAUUUUUAUCUCUUCCCUCCUCUGAUUCUUUCUCCAUUUCCCUUCCUCACUCUCCGUGUCUCUCCUUUCUCUUUCCUGCCUACCUCCUGCAGAGUCACAGUUAUUAGUGGCACACACACAUUCGACCCCUUUUCAGGCUGGGCUGCUAGAAUGGAGUGAAUCUGAGACCUCACAGGAGUUGCUGUGUCUCACAGGAUGACUUCUUUUGCAAACCUGUAGAAAAAAAAAGAAGAAGAAGUGGAGAACACAAAGAGGAAUAAAAGAGAAGAAACAAGAAAAAGAACAGAAACACUAUCUCAAGAAACAGAACAAAGAUCUUGGAAAUUCUGCAACAUAAACUGGUCCCUAAACUUUGGCUGGCCCCAAGUCUGAGCAAGCACUAAAACAUAAAGGAUCCCCUAUUAAUAGCUUAUUUUAAGAAUCAGUUGAACAUAGCUAAAAAUACUUUCUAUGAGACCACCACCCUGAACAUGCUAUCUGUUCGCCUCCACUCGGUGGCCAGUUUCUCCUCAAAGGCUCCUGCUAGCCCUGCUUGACCCUUCUUAUAAAGAAAAGCCUUUUUGUGUUUGAUUUUGAGAGCUUGCAAAUCCUAAGCUUGGAGCAUUGUGAUAGCCUUUUUGAAUAAAGUUUCUCCUUAACCUAAGUCUAGGUUUGUUUUUAUUUGACACCAUUAUCAGACAUAGAUCACAGAACAAGGAAUUACCUUUGCUCAGUCGCAUAUCAUUCUUCUAUAAAAAACAGAAAUCUAAAAGCAAGACAUUUUAAGUGCUAGCAUCACCUAUAUACUAAACAAACCUAUAAUUUUAUUCUUAAUUUAUUUAGCAUAUUCAAGAAAGUGUUGGUGUCUGUGGGUUUGUAAUAGAGAGUGGUGAAGUAUUCUGAACAGCUGUCAAUAAUGUCACACCGUUAACCAUAUACUCAGUGACUGCAGGGGAAAAUAAUCAGAAUUCAUAUUUUAUAUCCAGAUUUUAUUUUUGAACAGCAAUAAGAUCGGCUAUCUCAGGAAAUUCAGCAUAACUGGAGUCAGUAUAACUUCAGUCUGGUGUCUUCAUACCAUCCGAACUGCACUAAAGAUAGCUGCUUCAGAACAAUAAGACUUGAAAUAUGGUUGCUGGUUUGAACUUAAUGUAUGAGGAAUAAUAAAAUCAUUUCACAAAGCAAAUAAUGUAGCAUAAAGUGAGAUAAGGAAAGAAUAUCAAUGUAUCUGGCACUUAGACUCCACAUGUCAGGACAUUAUUAUUAGAACAAUUUGCUAUUAUAUCUCAUUUAAACACCACAUUAUUUCCAAUGUAGUUACCACCAGAUACAAUUUUCACUUUUCUACUGACUCUAUUCCAAGACUUCAAAAGACUUUAGAACUGUUUUUUAGAAUCUUCUUCUUCGAUAAUUAGAAAAGGAGGCAUGGAAAGGUUAGGUUGCUCAGAAGGCAGUGUUGCAUAUUGGUAAAGGGCUCCACAGCCUUCCUUUCCCUUGCAAAAAAACCCUCAUUUAUUGGGAUUCACUCAAUUGAGCCUUCAUUUUAGUGAAAUCUGAAUUUUAUUACACAUGGAUUGGAGAAAGUAGUGCAUUCUAAAGGGUGUAGAACUUCAUAUGUUGGCUGUAUUUUUAUUAUAUUUUAGGAGAAAAUAUCCAAGGAAUACACUAUAAAUAUAUAUUCAACUUCUAUAACUAUAAUUUUGGAAAGUCAAUCUUGGCACAAGAAAGUAUAAAUCAUAUUGUUUUGUUUUUAAUUGUAUUAAUUGAAGUAUGAUUUACAGUAAAUAAAAUGCAUGAUUCUUUGGUGUUAAAUAUUAUAGACUUGUGACUCCAUCUCUUUUUCUCUCUCAUCAUAUGUGUAUGUAACAUAUAGCAGUUAUAAUAUAACUACUAUAAUAAAAUGUAUCAUAGUAUAUAGUACAUAUAUAAAAUGGACAAUGAUAUAAUGCAUAAAAACACAGAGACAGGAAUACACAAAUUACGUUAAGGAUGCAAGGGAAAGUCAACUUGGAUGGAUCAGACAGGAUAAGCAAUUGCUGAGAGAAAAUGGAAAGGAAAACAUGGACUAAAGAAGGGAGUCUCUUAAAAUCAGUUUAAGGAAUUUAUAUUCUUUGUGGCUUGUUAAGAGAAACUAAUGAUGGACUUUUGAUAUGCUCUAAAACAUUUACACAAAUAUAAUCUAACACGGAUAUUCUGAAAGGCUGAGUGCAUCAAAGCUGAUGUUCACUGGAUCAUUUUAAAGGGCAUUGUACCUAAUUCUUUUAUGAAAUAAUGAGAGCCAAGGAGAAGAAUGGUAGAGUUGACUGAAUCUCUGCUUUUGAGAAAAUCAGAAGAAUGUUAAAGAACAACCUCCGCAAACGGACAUGGAUGAAUCUGGAGAACGUAAUCCUCAGCAAACUGACACAAGAACAGAAAAUGAAACACCGCAUAUUCUCACUCAUAGGUGGGUGAUGAAAAAUGAGAACACAUGGACACAGAAAGGGGAGUACUAAA